AUCAUCCAAUUUAUUGCCAUCCAUUUUGUAGAGAGAAACACUUUCCAUCUGGGCAUGGUGGUCACGUGCCUCCUUUCUUAGACUUUCAAAUGGCAUGACCUCCCAUUUAUUGUAAUUUGAGUAUUUCCUGACAUCACUCAUGUCUGAAGAUCCUGAGGUGGGCCCACUGCUGUCAGGGUCCACAUUGCCCCACACCUUACAACAUCCGAACUGUCCAGGCCCAUGACCCCUCUUGAAGCGCAAGGCAGCAGCAUGAGCUCUGCUUAUCAUUUCUCGACUGGGGACAUCUGACCAGUCAUGUUUCCUUUGGGCUCUCAUGGGAGAAUGAAUCCUAAUAACACCAAGGCACUCUAGGAGCUGAUAAUAUGCACGUCCUUGAAGCGGAUUGUGCCCUUUCCUGGGAGUAGAGAAAUACCGUGUCCAUUCAGUAUAGCCAGGAUCAACUGUGAAUCCAUAUAUGUCAACAAUGUCACACAUUGAAAGUGCUAGUUCAAUAGAUUUCAUUCCAGUUCCCUUGGCACCUCUGCGUAGCACAAUUCCUUGGAAAAGAUAAACAGGAUUGGGAAUACUCUUUAUCAUAGCAUUAAAGUCUCUGUGGGUCACACUUUUGAUUAUAAGUACUUCAUCGGUAGAUCCAUUGAGAAUCUUAACCAUGUUACGAGCAGCACCACGAACUACAAGGCGGAAAUCCCUUUUUAGCCCAACAUACUUGGAAUAUUUCUCAUUAACUGGAGCUUCAUUGUCUCGUAUAACAGCCUCAUGACCAUCAAUCUCUUCUCCAAACUCAGUCUUUAGGAGAUCUCCUGAGUUACCAACAACAGCACAAGUGCGAAAUUGCCGGGGAUGGAAAGGGGGUUUACCAGGUAGAAUCAAAUUAAGAUGUUCCUCACAGAGAGUCCUGUUGUAGCAUUUAUCAGAUCCCAAUUGAGCUAUCCUUUUUGCUGCAUACUCUAACCACCCAUCUGGCCGGGCAUCAAGGUAUUCUCUUGUCAGCACUGUAGUCAUGUUACGAUACUGUUCCCACAAUAGAAUUGCUUCACAAACAUCAUAAUGGUACUCCAACGGUUCAUAAAUUUUGAAUUGCUCAUUGAACCAGGUGCUGUUAGUGCCUUCAGGAAACUUAAGCGUCAAUUUGCAAAGGUCAAUGAUUUGUGCCGUCAGACCAAGCCCUCUGUUUGCCACGCAUUGCUGAACAGAGGACUGGAAAUCGGAUAAAUCCCGGAUUUGUUCUUUGCUGAGAUCCGAGUUUCGACCACCUGAGAAAAAAGAGGAUUGGAUAGCAAAAACAAGGAUAGAGAAGAGAGCAGCAAGGAAGAGAAGGUGGAGAAUGGGAUGUCUCCUACUGAAAUUUGUAUUCUUGUGAAGUCUCAUGUUCGCCCUGCUCGCUGAAACUGAGAACUGCAAAAUCAGCUAACUUUUUCUCUCAUUUAUUUUCUUUUUUUUUUUCGAUGGAAGAUGCCAUGCCUGUCAUGGAAGAAAAGGGCCAGUAGAACUCUAGAGCAUGGAACUUAAUAACGACGUCGUUUUGUCUGGUGUAACCCAGUUUAACACCCUGUGAACUUAAGCUGUAGGAACUUAAGCUGUAGGAGGCUAUCCAUGUG
rnacentral:misc_RNA from 1 species